GACGAACGCUGGCGGCGUGCCUAAUACAUGCAAGUCGAACGCAGUGGGGACGGGUGAGUAACACGUGGGUAACCUCCCAUCAGAGGGGAUAACACUUGGAAACCGGUGCUAAACCGAUACUGAUGGAUGGACCCGCGGUGCAUUAGCUAUUUGGUGAGGUAACGGCUCACCAAGGCCACGAUGCAUAGGCGACCUGGGAGAGUGAUAAGCCAAACUGGGACUGACACACGGCCCAGACUCCUACGGGAGGACAGAGUAGGGAAUCUUUGGCAAUGGACGAAAGUGUGACCGAGUAACGCCGCGUGAGUGAAGAAGGUGUUCGGAUCGUAAAACCCUGUUGUUAGAGAAGCGGUAUCUAACCAGAAAGCCACGGCUAACUACGUGCCAGCAGCCGCGGUAAUAC
rnacentral:rRNA from 1 species